rnacentral:tRNA from 1 species
GGCCUUAUAGUCAAUAAUGAUGUCAGACUGCAAUUCUGAAGGAGUAGAUGCUACUAAGGCUU